GACUGUAGGCCAGUGGCAGGGCAUCUGCUUGGCAUGCAGAUGUUGCCAGGUUCGAUUCCUGGCAUCUCCC